rnacentral:rRNA from 1 species
GCUAGUAAUCGCGAAUCAGAAUGUCGCGGUGAAUACGUUCCCGGGUCUUGUACACACCGCCCGUCACACCAUGGGAGUCGGAUAUGCCCGAAGCCGGUGACCUAACCGCAAGGAAGGAGCCGUCGAAGGUGGAGCCGAUGACUGGGGUGAAGUCGUAACAAGGUAGC